UGACAUGAACACAGGUGCUCAGAUA
rnacentral:piRNA from 1 species